ACUCCUACGGGAGGCAGCAGUGGGGAAUAUUGCACAAUGGGCGCAAGCCUGAUGCAGCCAUGCCGCGUGUGUGAAGAAGGCCUUCGGGUUGUAAAGCACUUUCAGUCGUGAGGAAGGUGGUAGUGUUAAUAGCACUAUCAUUUGACGUUAGCGACAGAAGAAGCACCGGCUAACUCCGUGCCAGCAGCCGCGGUAAUACGGAGGGUGCGAGCGUUAAUCGGAAUUACUGGGCGUAAAGCGCAUGCAGGUGGUUUGUUAAGUCAGAUGUGAAAGCCCGGGGCUCAACCUCGGAAUAGCAUUUGAAACUGGCAGACUAGAGUACUGUAGAGGGGGUAGAAUUUCAGGUGUAGCGGUGAAAUGCGUAGAGAUCUGAAGGAAUACCGGUGGCGAAGGCGGCCCCUGGACAGAUACUGACACUCAGAUGCGAAAGCGUGGGAGCAAACAGGAUUAGAU
rnacentral:rRNA from 1 species